GACGAACGCUGGCGGCGUGCUUAACACAUGCAAGUCGAACGGUAAGGCCCUUCGGGGUACACGAGUGGCGAACGGGUGAGUAACACGUGGGUGAUCUGCCCUGCACUUCGGGAUAAGCCUGGGAAACUGGGUCUAAUACCGGAUAGGACCACUGCCGGCAUGGGUGGUGGUGGAAAGCUUUUGCGGUGUGGGAUGGGCCCGCGGCCUAUCAGCUUGUUGGUGGGGUGAUGGCCUACCAAGGCGACGACGGGUAGCCGGCCUGAGAGGGUGACCGGCACACUGGGACUGAGAUACGGCCCAGACUCCUACGGGAGGCAGCAGUGGGGAAUAUUGCACAAUGGGCGCAAGCCUGAUGCAGCGACGCCGCGUGAGGGAUGACGGCCUUCGGGUUGUAAACCUCUUUCAGCACCGACGAAGCGCAAGUGACGGUAGGUGCAGAAGAAGGACCGGCCAACUACGUGCCAGCCGCCGCGGUAA
rnacentral:rRNA from 1 species